GAUGAACGCUGGCGGCGUGCUUAACACAUGCAAGUCGAGCGAAGCGAUUUUAAGGAAGCCUUCGGGUGGAAUUAAAAUUGACUUAGCGGCGGACGGGUGAGUAACGCGUGGGUAACCUGCCUCAUACAGGGGGAUAACAGUUAGAAAUGACUGCUAAUACCGCAUAAGCGCACAGUGCUGCAUAGCACAGUGUGAAAAACUCCGGUGGUAUGAGAUGGACCCGCGUCUGAUUAGGUAGUUGGUGAGGUAACGGCCCAACAAGCCGACGAUCAGUAGCCGGCCUGAGAGGGUGACCGGCCACAUUGGGACUGAGACACGGCCCAACCUCCUACGGGAGGCAGCAGUGGGGAAUAUUGGACAAUGGGGGAAACCCUGAUCCAGCGACGCCGCGUGACUGAAGAAGUAUUUCGGUAUGUAAAGGUCUAUCAGCAGGGAAGAAAAUGACGGUACCUGACUAAGAAGCCCCGGCUAACUACGUGCCAGCAGCCGCAGUAA
rnacentral:rRNA from 1 species